rnacentral:piRNA from 1 species
UGAACUUCACGUUAGCAAAAG